UGGUUCAUAGUAUAAUGGUAGUACAGUUCACUACGGAUGAUCUUAUAUAGGUUCGAUUCCUAUUGUUCCAU